UUGCUUCGGCAGCACAUACACAAAGAUUGGGACAGUACAGGGAAGCUUAGCGUGGCCCCCUGUGCGAGGGUGGCCUGCAAAUUGGUGAAGAAGUCCAUGCUUUU